GAAACUUUACCACCGGGUGAAGUUUUUAAGGUGUUCCACAACAUUCCAUUAGGUCUUGGAAGGAAUGUUGCUGGAACACCUUUUUGUU
rnacentral:ncRNA from 1 species